rnacentral:rRNA from 1 species
GUGAUGACGAGGCACUACGGUGCUGAAGCAACAAAUGCCCUGCUUCCAGGAAAAGCCUCUAAGCAUCAGGUAACAUCAAAUCGUACCCCAAACCGACACAGGUGGUCAGGUAGAGAAUACCAAGGCGCUUGAGAGAACUCGGGUGAAGGAACUAGGCAAAAUGGUGCCGUAACUUCGGGAGAAGGCACGCUGACACGUAGGUGAAGUGAUUUACUCAUGGAGCUGAAGUCAGUCGAAGAUACCAGCUGGCUGCAACUGUUUAUUAAAAACACAGCACUGUGCAAACACGAAAGUGGACGUAUACGGUGUGACGCCUGCCCGGUGCCGGAAGGUUAAUUGAUGGGGUCAGCGCAAGCGAAGCUCCUGAUCGAAGCCCCGGUAAACGGCGGCCGUAACUAUAACGGUCCUAAGGUAGCGAAAUUCCUUGUCGGGUAAGUUCCGACCUGCACGAAUGGCGUAAUGAUGGCCAGGCUGUCUCCACCCGAGACUCAGUGAAAUUGAACUCGCUGUGAAGAUGCAGUGUACCCGCGGCAAGACGGAAAGACCCCGUGAACCUUUACUAUAGCUUGACACUGAACAUUGAGCCUUGAUGUGUAGGAUAGGUGGGAGGCUUUGAAGUGUGGACGCCAGUCUGCAUGGAGCCGGCCUUGAAAUACCACCCUUUAAUGUUUGAUGUUCUAACGUGGACCCGUGAUCCGGGUUGCGGACAGUGUCUGGUGGGUAGUUUGACUGGGGCGGUCUCCUCCUAAAGAGUAACGGAGGAGCACGAAGGUUGGCUAAUCCUGGUCGGACAUCAGGAGGUUAGUGCAAUGGCAUAAGCCAGCUUGACUGCGAGCGUGACGGCGCGAGCAGGUGCGAAAGCAGGUCAUAGUGAUCCGGUGGUUCUGAAUGGAAGGGCCAUCGCUCAACGGAUAAAAGGUACUCCGGGGAUAACAGGCUGAUACCGCCCAAGAGUUCAUAUCGACGGCGGUGUUUGGCACCUCGAUGUCGGCUCAUCACAUCCUGGGGCUGAAGUAGGUCCCAAGGGUAUGGCUGUUCGCCAUUUAAAGUGGUACGCGAGCUGGGUUUAGAACGUCGUGAGACAGUUCGGUCCCUAUCUGCCGUGGGCGCUGGAGAACUGAGGGGGGCUGCUCCUAGUACGAGAGGACCGGAGUGGACGCAUCACUGGUGUUCGGGUUGUCAUGCCAAUGGCACUGCCCGGUAGCUAAAUGCGGAAGAGAUAAGUGCUGAAAGCAUCUAAGCACGAAACUUGCCCCGAGAUGAGUUCUCCCUGAGACUUUAGGUCUCCUGAAGGAACGUUGAAGACGACGACGUUGAUAGGCCGGGUGUGUAAGCGCAGCGAUGCGUUGAGCUAACCGGUACUAAUGAACCGUGAGGCUUAACCUUACA